rnacentral:rRNA from 1 species
CAGGAUUCAGUGAGUCAUCGAAAUUUUGAACGCAUAUUGCACUUUCGGGUUAUGCCUGGAAGUAUGCCUGUAUCAGUGUCCGUACAUCAAACUUGCCUUUCUUUUUCUGUGUAGUCAGGAAUGGAGAUGGCAGAAUGUGAGGUGUCUCGAGCCGUCCCCUCUUUUGGGAGAUAGCACGAGUCCCUUUAAAUGUACGUUGAUCUCUCUUGUGUCUUAGUGAAGUGUAAUGCUCGAACGCAGUGAUCUGUUCAGAUUGCUUUGCGCUGGUGGGCGACUUCGGAAAGGACAUUAAGGAGAUGACCUCUAUUGGCGGUAUGUUAGGCUUCGGCCCGACGUUGCAGCUGACGGGGUGUUGUUUCCGUUCUUUCCUUGAGGUGUACCUGUCGUGUGUGAGGUCGAACUGGACGCUGGUUAUUGUGUAGUAGAGUAUUGCUGCGCUUUGACGCCUUCGGGUAAAGAGGACGACACUAAUUUGGGAACAGAAACUGCGGCUUGCUGCGGAUUCUGAACUUUUCAAAUUGGACCUGAUAUCA